GAUAGCUCAGCUGGCUAGAGCAUGGUGUUGUAAAUGCCAAGGUGGCAGGUUCUAUCCCUGCAUAUUCA